rnacentral:tRNA from 1 species
GCAGUCGUGGCCGAGUGGUUAAGGCGAUGGCCUAGAAAUCCAUUGGGGUCUCCCCGCACAGGUUAUCUCCCGUUGACUGCG